AUUUGCACAGUUUGCCUGCGAUAAUGGCUUGAAUGUCAGAGGAGGAAAACCAGAUGACAUCACUGUUCUGCUGUCAAUUGUAGCAGAGUACACAGACUAACGCUCGCAAGGGCAGCAAAAUGCUUCUCUUGUUGUCUUCCUCUCAGUCAUUGGACUGGCGGCUGUUUCCUGCUGGCAGGAGUGAGGGCUGUUUGAGUUUUCUGUUUCUGGCAGGGACUUGGAGCCCACAUCUGUUCCUUGGGUUCUUCGACCUUACUAGACCGUACUUCAAAUGAUGUUGUCUGCAGACUCAAGUCAAAGGCCACCUUGAUACGGACUGCUAACGUCGAGUUGUGUUUGACAAGGGCUACAACAGGUGUUGAACACUUCUCCAGUAAGAAUCACAAGUGUUUCUGUCGUCCAGACAUGAAUGAGUAGUUGGUAAUGAUGUGGUUGUGAUGCCAAAAAUGGAGAAAGAAUGAGCGAGAAAGGAAUAACAAUCUGAUUGGGUCCCAAAAGAAAGAACGUCUCCGUAUCAAGAAGAACAUUAAGAUGGAAGUGUCAUGCAGUGGGAGUGUUUAACUUUGCAAAAGGCCAAUGGGAGAUGCCCUCAUGUUACAUAAGUCUUGAGAUGGCACGUUUUGCCUGUUUACUUUCCAUUUAAAAAGACACCUGAUCUGUAUCCUCUGGACAGACAUCUGCCGAAUGCCAGCUGAGAUGUGAUGUUAUUAGGCACGAGUGACUACAACAAACUCUUCACUAGCUAAUGGAGAGUUUGUAUUUUGGAAAGUAAGCAGAGGUGUAACUUUACAGUACUAGACUGAUUAUGAAGCUUAACAACAUCGAAAUACUGUCAAAGUUAAUGAUCAACCAUAGAAAUGCCUUUCCUUUGAGAUAUUAAUUAAUGAAGACGCUUUUGCAGAACAAGUUCUCAUUAUAUGAAAUAAGAGUCAGAUGGGUGUUUUAAGCGAUUCAAAGUACAGGACAAAUUAGUUUGCAUGGGGAGACGGUAACCUUUUCCUUUCAUAUUUAUUAAUUUAAAUCAGUAUUACUCCACCCUUUUGAGUUUUUAACGUAAUGACAGCAGUACGACAGACUGCAAGGGAUUGUGGGAUGUGUUGAGAGGAAAAGCAGUCCCACUUAAACCACUUUUAAGAGGUUCACAUGCUUGUGGUGUGCAUAUGUGUAUGUGAGAAAAGAACGUUUACGAUAUGUAGAUAUUUGGAAAAUUGGCUGUAUAUUUAUCUAUGACAUGUAUGCAUUUGCAAAGUGUAGGCUAUUACACAUCAGAUGUAUAUGAGAGUAUAUUUGAUAAUUGUGUGGAUUCUGUUAAAAGUAUUUUUCUUCCUUUUUUUUUUAUGUAAAACUUAAUUUUAAAAUAUCCCUGGAGGCGUUUACGCACAAAGCUAAUGCUAGCAUCUGUGAAUGCUUUCGGUGGGUAUGUCAUGGAUCACAUGAUCUAAUAAAGUUAUAUUUUUAUAACUUC